GUUGUCAAAUUUUGACACGUAUCGUUUGAAGGUUGAUACUAACUAAAAAUCAUUUGGAUUUAAUACUAACAUCGCCAUAUGUGCAUCAGACCGGGAACUUUUCAAUUGGCCUAAUAUAAUAAUUACCUACUUCCAAAUUGUGUUCAGUACUUGUUAGUUUCAUCUCAAACCACUAGCUACCCUCAUGAAAAGGAAACUCUUGGAGACCAAUCUAUCAUUUUAUAAUGAAAAAUAUGUUUUGUCGAAGUGAGGAAGAACUAUCUUAGAGGCUUCUAUAGACCUUGGUAUAUUUAUACAUCAUUGCUCCAGCAGUGACAAUAAGUAAGAAGUAAGAAGAAUGCAGUAAGAAGUAUCAUAGAAUUAAUUUAUCGAAUCCGAUUCAAGAUGGUUACCUAUCGAUUCUCAGAGCGGUGGGAGGCAGAUAGAUGUAAAAAGUACUGUUUUCUUUAUUGUCUUGGAUGUGGCAUUGGAGCCAUUGUGUGUAUUACUAUAUUGCUUAUUUGUAUGUGGACUUAAAGAAUGUAAUAGUUAUAUGCCUAAUGGCUGUUUUCUA